GCCAGCGAGUCUUUCUCCUGCACAGCAACUGUCAACUCCUCAAAGACCUCUGUGAAGAGAGACAGGAGGGGUGGAUAGAGGGGAUCAGCAUUUUUAUUCACAAGAUGCAAUUGGACUGUGCAAGGACGUGCAUGUGGUGGCUCAUCUUCUCACCAUCACCUGGUCUAAAAAUAUCAUUUUUGACACAGAAAGACUUGAUCUCUAUCCAUCUACAUCUGAAAACAGCAAUUGUCACCAUUUAGUUUCUGCCUGUAGAAAACACUUAUCUUUGUUCAUAAAAUAAAAAUAAUAAAAGUUCUUUGGGGUGAUGGCAUUUUCUUAAACCACACCAAUAAUUGUACUUGAUAAUUCUGUUAAUACUCUGUUCAUGUAGAAAGUAAUACAUACAAAGGGGCCACUAUCUACCACAAAAAAGUAAAUAAAUAAAAAAAAACAAGAAAUAAUUCUGACUCUACUGUUUAUUGAAUAUUCAAAGCCAACAUAGAGCAUGAUAGCAAUGAAUGAUAGUGAUAGAAUGAUGUGACCUGGGACACAAGGGCUCUGUGUGUGUGUGUUUGUGUAUAAAAGAGAUAAACACCACUAUGAAGGUGUUUAUAGACUCGUGUUUAUAGACUCAUGUUUAUCAGUGUUAACAGAUUUGCCAUUGAGUAAAUUGUAGCCUUGCUUCUUCUCUUUUAACAAACAAACAGUGGCGCAGGAUGAAUGGGUGCUAUGUCUACAUGCGCAGUCAGCGAGCACAUGGCUAGGCUUUAGUUUCCAGUCAGCCAUGCUGAAAGUGGCCACAUGAAGCUUGGCAGGCUUUUCUCCAACCAAUGAUAUGCUUAGCUGCACCAGAAACACGUGCUUGUCUGCAAACUCUACCUUUUCUCCCAGCAUAUCCGACAGUUACAUAACAGCCAUUUCUAUGUUACACACGCUGACAUCAAAACUUGCACCACAAAACAGAAUCUGGGAGGGUUUUUUUCUGACACAUCAGGGCCAAAGGGCACCUCAGAUUUGGAGAUACACUUUUAGUACUUGGACUCAACUGAAAUAGAAUAUGCAAAGACAGCGUAAGUGAGCAAAACAAUCCAGCCCAUCUCAAAAUGAUAUACCAUCCUGAAGGCACUCGGGCAGUUCCCAGAAUCCUCUAUAGCUGUUUUACACAUCAUACACAAUCACACUAUGUGCAGAUAAAAAUAUACACACAGUUCAACUCUUGCAAACAAGAGCCUUUAUGCAUCUGUGAGACGAGUGCCAAAUGAAAGGCAUGUCCAAUCCCUUUUGAUUCCCUAUUCUUCCUCAAAUAGGCCACUCAUUAAUUAAGAGAUGAAAAAUCUUCAAACACAUGCUCUUGAGUUGGAGUGGCACAUCAAACGGGAGAAUCACAGCAGCCUGCCAUACUUAGGGCUUCGGUCGUGCAGUCCCAUUACCCUGCAUGUGUAGCUUAUUCAUUGUUUCUAGAGAGGAUAAAAGAAGCGACUGUGGCAGGCAAUCCUAUAAGACAUCAAACUGAUGAAAAACUGAAAGGCUCUCAGACUUUAUCGCAACAACUGGUGCAGCCAUAUUUGCCAUGAUGGGAACUGAUGACCGAAGAAGAAUCUGGAUGAUUCUAAAUAAUUCAAAACGUCUUAGAAACUAAGAGCAGCACUGAUAUAUUCAUGCAAGCCUGCCUGUUGAUAAAAGCUCUGAAAUUGCUGGAGAUUAAGACAAAGGUAAAUUCAGAAUCCCACCAGACAGACAUUAGUACGUGGCAAUUAAGAAAAGGUCACACUUAAAAAUGUUGGGUUUUUUU